rnacentral:lncRNA from 1 species
ACAGAUAAGAACUGCCCGUUUAGGUCGAGAACAAAGGGGAGUUGAACAGGAGGGGUUCUCUUGAAAAUCUGGGUCACAUGGAGACCGGUAGCACCAUCUUUCUGCACCUUGAGAAAGAGGUUGGUUGGCCUGAGGAUAGGCGUGGGUGGUCGAGGUCGAGGUCGAGGUUGAGGUUGAGGUCGAGGUCGAGGUCGAGGUUGUGCUGCGGAUGACUGAUCAUCAUCCGCAGACACAAAAAUAAGAUGAAUAGAUAAAGAGAACAAGAGAAGAAACUGAAGGAAAGAAGCCAUGGAUAAUGGGAAGCAGAAGAGUUGCUAUAGGCUAUAGCUAGAGAGGAGAUGGUUGCAAUGGGACUUGGUAAUGGAAUAGAGAGAAGAGGGUGCAAUUUAUAGUGUAUUAUAGAUGCAUGCAGACAUAGCUAAGGUAGUGUGAUCAUAUGGGAAAGUUUUUUGUUCCAGUUUUUGUGACUUUAUCUGAGGAGGUUCACGCUUUU